UGGGGAAUUUUGGACAAUGGGCGAAGCCUGAUCCAGCAAUGCCGCGUGUGUGAAGAAGGCCUUCGGGUUGUAAAGCACUUUUGUCCGGAAAGAAAUCCUUGGCUCUAAUACAGUCGGGGGAUGACGGUACCGGAAGAAUAAGCACCGGCUAACUACGUGCCAGCAGCCGCGGUAAUACGUAGGGUGCAAGCGUUAAUCGGAAUUACUGGGCGUAAAGCGUGCGCAGGCGGUUUGCUAAGACCGAUGUGAAAUCCCCGGGCUCAACCUGGGAACUGCAUUGGUGACUGGCAGGCUAGAGUAUGGCAGAGGGGGGUAGAAUUCCACGUGUAGCAGUGAAAUGCGUAGAGAUGUGGAGGAAUACCGAUGGCGAAGGCAGCCCCCUGGGCCAAUACUGACGCUCAUGCACGAAAGCGUGGGGAGCAAACAGGAUUAGAUACCCUGGUAGUCCACGCCCUAAACGAUGUCAACUAGUUGUUGGGGAUUCAUUUCCUAGUAACGUAGCUAACGCGUGAAGUUGACCGCCUGGGGAGUACGGUCGCAAGAUUAAAACUUAAAGGAAUUGACGGGGUCAUAGCUGUUUCCU
rnacentral:rRNA from 1 species